AUGACCAACAUCUUCAUGGCUCUGGCUUUGUCUUAAUCUAUCAGAGGACCACCUAACAAGGCUCCACGAUGGCCUCCCCCAGACAUAUGGUGUUCCUCACAGUCACUACCAUCAACCAGAAGUCCAGAACCGGUCCUUGGGCCAAGCCAACGAAGCCCAUGCUUCCAGCCGAUUUAUUUAUGAACAUAUUUUGGCCACAUUUUAGUUUAAAACUGCCUUAGCUUAAUGGUAUAAAAUCCAGUAAAUGGUCUUGGUCUCAGUAAUUAGGAUUCUUGUCUGCUAUAGUACAUAUUUUCUUCUCUAUAUUUGUUGAGAAAAUGGCUACAAUUUUUUUU
rnacentral:lncRNA from 1 species